rnacentral:rRNA from 1 species
CGCCCUUAGAGUUUGAUCCUGGCUCAAGACGAACGCUGGCGGCGUGCCUAACACAUGCAAGUCGAACGGAGUUGAAAGGAGCUUGCUUUUUUCAACUCAGUGGCGGACGGGUGAGUAACGCGUGAGUAACCUGCCUUUCAGAGGGGGAUAACGUUCUGAAAAGAACGCUAAUACCGCAUAAGAUUGUAGUUUCGCAUGGGACAGCAAUCGAAGGAGCAAUCCGCUGAAAGAUGGACUCGCGUCCGAUUAGAUAGUUGGCGGGGUAACGGCCCACCAAGUCGACGAUCGGUAGCCGGACUGAGAGGUUGAUCGGCCACAUUGGGACUGAGACACGGCCCAGACUCCUACGGGAGGCAGCAGUGAGGGAUAUUGGGCAAUGGGGGAAACCCUGACCCAGCAACGCCGCGUGAGGGAUGACGGUUUUCGGAUUGUAAACCUCUGUCCUCUGUGAAGAUAGUGACGGUAGCAGAGGAGGAAGCUCCGGCUAACUACGUGCCAGCAGCCGCGGUAAUACGUAGGGAGCAAGCGUUGUCCGGAUUUACUGGGUGUAAAGGGUGCGUAGGCGGAUUGGCAAGUCAGAAGUGAAAUCCAUGGGCUUAACCCAUGAACUGCUUUUGAAACUGUUAGUCUUGAGUGAAGUAGAGGUAGGCGGAAUUCCCGGUGUAGCGGUGAAAUGCGUAGAGAUCGGGAGGAACACCAGUGGCGAAGGCGGCCUACUGGGCUUUAACUGACGCUGAGGCACGAAAGUGUGGGUAGCACACAGGAUUAGAUACCCUGGUAGUCCACACUGUAA